rnacentral:lncRNA from 1 species
GUCUCACAAGUCAUAACUUUCAGGCAUAAUUGCUCUGGGUGGACAGAGUUUAAAGUUAAACUACGAGUUACAUUCUUCUUGCAUUUACAUUAUCAGAUGGAUGCUAGCUCUCAUAAUUAAUGUUGCUUUGUCUGUGCACAUGACUAGAAACUCAGACAAUAUAAACAUGAAGGUUCUAAAAGAAUUUGCAUAUCAUUAUGUCCUUCAACAUACAAAGUAAAUGGUAUUUUCUAUUUAGAAUGACUCUCAAAUUGUAAUGUCUUGUUUGUGGGAUGGAUGUUGUUAUCUAGUGGCUCCAUGGUUUGAGUUCUCUACAGACAAGGCAGAGAAUGAGGCACAUUCAUAGAAGCAACUGCUCCCUCAGUUUCUAUCCUGUGGCCAGAGCCAGAAAGACCAUUCUACUCUUGGUGAACACCUUGCUUUUCCACACAUCUUUCCUCUUGAAAAUUAGUUUA